UGGGGAAUAUUGGACAAUGGGCGGAAGCCUGAUCCAGCAACGCCGCGUGAGGGAUGACGGCCUUCGGGUUGUAAACCUCUUUCAGCACAGACGAAGCGCAAGUGACGGUAUGUGCAGAAGAAGGACCGGCCAACUACGUGCCAGCAGCCGCGGUAAUACGUAGGGUCCGAGCGUUGUCCGGAAUUAUUGGGCGUAAAGGGCUCGUAGGCGGUUUGUCGCGUCGGGAGUGAAAACACCGGGCUUAACUCGGUGCUUGCUUUCGAUACGGGCAGACUAGAGGUAUUCAGGGGAGAACGGAAUUCCUGGUGUAGCGGUGAAAUGCGCAGAUAUCAGGAGGAACACCGGUGGCGAAGGCGGUUCUCUGGGAAUAUCCUGACGCUGAGGAGCGAAAGUGUGGGGAGCGAACAGGAUUAGAUACCCUGGUAGUCCACACCGUAAACGUUGGGCGCUAGGUGUGGGGUCCAUUCCACGGAUUCCGUGCCGCAGCUAACGCAUUAAGCGCCCCGCCUGGGGAGUACGGCCGCAAGGCUAAAACUCAAAUGAAUUG
rnacentral:rRNA from 1 species